CCCCGAAACUAGGUGAGCUACUUAAGAACAGCCUUUUGGGCCAACCCGUCUCUGUUGCAAAAGAGUGGGAAGAUUUUUAAGUAGAGGUGAUAAACCUACCGAACCUAGAGAUAGCUGGUUAUUCAGGAAAAGGAUUUAAGUCCUACCUUAGGUUUUUGUACGAUACAAGUAUUUCUUAACCUUAAGAGCUAUUCAAAUAAGGUACAGCCUAUUUGAAACAGGAUACAACCUCGCCAAUUGGGUAAUAUAUUUUUUAUCAACUAAGUGGGCCUAAAAGCAGCCACCUUCAAAAAAGCGUUAAAGCUUCAUUGUUCCUUAUAAAAAUUCCUCUAACCCUCUACAACCCCUAACCUGUACUGAAUUGUCUCAUGAUUUCAUGAGAGCCUAUAUGUUAGAACUAGUAACAAGAAGAAGCCCUUCUCCAAAAUGUAAGCAUGAGCCAAAAUGAACUGUUCAUCGGCAUUUAAAGUUAAUAAUCUUAUAGUAGUAACUAUUCAAGAAAAACCUACUAUAUUUAACGUCAACCUUACACCAGCACAUUUCUGGAAAAAUUAAAAGACUAGGAAGGAACUCGGCAAAUAAUUAACCCCGCCUGUUUACCAAAAACAUCGCCUCUUGAUUUCCAUAGGAGGUCUAGCCUGCCCAGUGACAAAGUUAAACGGCCGCGGUACCCUAACCGUGCAAAGGUAGCGCAAUCACUUGUUCUUUAAAUGAGGACUAGUAUGAACGGCAUCACGAGGGUUAUGCUGUCUCCCUACUUUAUUUAGUGAAACUGAUCUCCCCGUGAAGAAGCGGGGAUAAAAAUAUAAGACGAGAAGACCCCAUGGAGCUUUAAACUCAGUAUCAACUGCCACAAUUAAAACCUAAUACUUAAGCAAUUUCUGACUACUAGUUUUCGGUUGGGGUGACCGCGGAGUAAAACCUAACCUCCACGAUGAAAGGAAAUAACAACCUAAAUUAAGAGCUACAACUCUAAAUAUCAACAAAUUGACUAAAUUGAUCCAAUUAAUUGAUUAACGAACCAAGUUACCCUGGGGAUAACAGCGCAAUCCAUUUCAAGAGCUCUUAUCGACAAAUGGGUUUACGACCUCGAUGUUGGAUCAGGGUGUCCCAGUGGCGCAGCCGCUACUAAUGGUUCG
rnacentral:rRNA from 1 species